GGGAAAUGGGAAAUUAUAGAAAAAUAGGAAAAUGAUAGGAAUAAAAUGGGAAAAUAUAGGAAUAAAAUGGGAAAAUAUAGGAAUAAAAUGGGAAAUUCUGGGAAAAAAAAUGGGAAAUUAGAGAGAAAAAAGAGAAAUGAGGUUGUGCAUCCUCAUGGCCUCCAAGGGAUUUGACUCUGGGAUUUUGGGAGAAUCCCUGAGUUAAACUGGGAUGUCCAAUUCCCUUUGCACUCCCAAAUUAUCCCUAAAAGUCCCACCAUGCCAGGAGCACGAGCUCCAUCCUCCCUCCCUUGGGCAGAUCCCGGAUUUUUCCCCCAUCCCGAAGGGACCCUGCAGAUCCCAAAUCCCAGCGGGAGGGAAUAACGGGAUCCCCUCCCUGGCUGAGUUCAGGAGCUGCUCCUGACCCUGCAGAAUUCCCGAUUUUCCCCUGGAGUUAAUCCUGCAGCAUUCCCGAUUCUCCCUAAAGCUGCUCCUGAACCUGCAGCAUUCCUGAUUUUCCCUAGAGAGGAUCCUGAUCCUUCAGCAUUCCCGAUUUUCCCGGCUGAGCCCCCCUGACCCGCCGCCCUCCCGGUUUUCCCGGCGGGCCCCCCUGACCCGCAGCAUUCCCGGUUUUCCCGGCUGAGCCCCCCUGACCCGCAGCAUUCCCGGUUUUCCCGGCUGAGCCCCCCUGACCCGCAGCAUUCCCGGUUUUCCCUGGAGCCCCCCCUGACCCGCAGCAUUCCCGGUUUUCCCGGCUGAGCCCCGUGUCCUUUGUGUCCCGAGAUCCCAGCCGGCCGCUGCCCGGUGCCGCCGCCCGGCCGGCCGCUGCCUUCAGCCGGAAUUCCGGGAAUGCCGCGGGAGCAGGAGAGGGCGGCUGGAAUCCCGGGAAUGCCGCGGGAGCAGGAGGAGAAGUUGGCCCAGAAAUGCUGCAAGAAAUGAGGGAAACCAACCGGGUGCUGCUGGAAGUUCGGGAUCUGCUGAGGCAGCAGGUGGGUGAAAAAUUCCCAAUUCCCGAUUUCCCGAGGGCUGGGAAUUCUCUGCUCACUCUGGAAUCAGGGAGAUCCUUCCUGGGCC
rnacentral:lncRNA from 1 species